rnacentral:lncRNA from 1 species
CUUCUUGUUGUUGUGUGUUCUGUUGUACAAAUGCCAAAUGCCGUCCCAUAUUUAUAGGGGAGGCUUGCCAAGCUCUAGAGAGUCUAGAGAGUUCUAUGACUUUCUANNNNNNNNNNNNNNNNNNNNNNNNNNNNNNNNNNNNNNNNNNNNNNNNNNNNNNNNNNNNNNNNNNNNNNNNNNNNNNNNNNNNNNNNNNNNNNNNNNNNNNNNNNNNNNNNNNNNNNNNNNNNNNNNNNNNNNNNNNNNNNNNNNNNNNNNNNNNNNNNNNNNNNNNNNNNNNNNNNUCCGGAAUCUAGAGUUGCCUAGAAUGUUCCGGAAUUGGGCCAAGCUAGGACUCUUGGCCUUGUGUUGGAUCUCUAGCCCAAGAUUGUGGACGAUUGGGCUAUCAAAUUGGGCGGUCCGCAACAUCCUCCCCCACCUAAGCUCGCGGCAUCCUCGUCCCGCACUCGUGCUUGAAAUUCUGGAUGUGCUGGUACGCCCCUUCUCGAAACCACGCGAUCCGCAAUGAUGUAGUCCACAUCUUUGUCGAAUGCGGUGACAACGGCGGUUGGUGCACGCUUGGAUUCUCCGCGACUUGGGUCUCCCAUGUCUUCGUGAUAUGGCUUGAGAAGACUCACAUGGAAGACCGGAUGGAUCUUGAGUCUUGGCGGAAGUUGGAGUUGAUACGAGACGUUGCCCACACGUCGAACAACUUGGAAGGGUCCCUCGUAGCGUCUUACUAGCCCCUUGUGGAUUUUCCGUAAUGUCUUGAAUUGAUGGGGUAGGAGCUUCAUUAUGACUUGAUCACCUUCCUUGUACUCAACAUGUCGUCUCCUUGUAUCCGCCCAUUUCUUCAUUUUUCUUGUGGCUUUGUCGAGGUUGACUCGCGUGAUGUCUGAUUCCCCAUGUUUGGGUGGCGCCAUGCGGUAGGGCGCCAGGGCUGGUGGCUUCGCACCUUGUUCAGCUCGAUCGAAUGAUCUACCUCUCGCCGCGGUGGGAGCUUUUUCGGAAGUUCUGGCGGCAUCACAUCCUAGCACUCAUUAAGGAUGGCUUGAAUUCGUGGAGGGACUUGGCUUGGCGACAUUCCGCUAUUUCCUUCCUCGUUCAGUUCCCGAAUGGAGACCAAGAAGCUUGGGUCCUUCUUGAUGUACUCAUUAAGGAUGGCUUGAAUUCGUGGAGGGACUUGGCUUGGCGACAUUCCGCUAUUUCCUUCCUCGUUCAGUUCCCGAAUGGAGACCAAGAAGCUUGGGUCCUUUCUUGAAAGCCUUCUUGAAUUGCAUGGCGGAGAGUGUCUUCUCCUCGGACUUGCAUCUCUCCACGGGUACCAUGCAUGCCUUGCUCCCGUCAAGUAUGCUUUGGGAGUUUGUAGCGGGCAGCGGGAAGGCAUAGGCUUGGUCGAAGAAUUCCAUGCCAAGGACCAUCUUGAAGUCAUCCAUGGGCACAAUAGAGAAGUGGAGCUUUCCACUCCACGUUCCGAGUGUUAACUGCACGCCUUGUGCAGUCCCCCAAUUGGCUCGGCGGGUGAGUUUACCGCCUUCAUUAUGCCUCCUUCCUUGGUGGCCUUGAGGCCUAAGCGUUUGGCCUCGUCUAUGGUCAUGAAGUUGUCUAUCGCUCCCGUGUCUAGCAGAGUUGGGGUUCCUCCGAGGACAUUGUGGGGUUGCUCUUUAGUUGGGCAGCAAGAGCGUUAAGCGACUUCUUUAUGUCUAGCAGCGCACGAACGGACUGGCCAUUUAUCUUGCCGCUUACAUACAUGAGCCCCUUCUACGGGUGCGGGUUGUUGGCGAUUAAGUGCGCCAAGGCGUUGGAGAGAACCCAUGCAGAGUUGGGGUUUCUCCGGGGACAUUGUGGGGUUGCUCUUUAGCGUUGAGCGACUUCUUUUCUGGACAGUCGCGCACCCAAUGAGGGCCAUUGCAUAUAAAGCAUGGGCUUCACGGUUUUGGUGCCUCCUUCUUGCCCUCCGAUUUACCUUGCCCACUCCUGUUGCAAGGCGGCUUUUUCUGCCCCCAAUCUUUGCGGCUGUUGCCCUUGUCCUUGCGACUCUCUCCCCCCACCUUUGCCUUGGUUGGCCUUUUUGUCUUUAGAUUGGGUAGAGUAUUCGGUGAGCGAUUCCACAACGACGAUGUCGUCGUCGAGCGUUUGAACGCCACACCUAUCAAGCUCGGUCUUGGCCCAAUCCUUGAGGCCAUCUUGGAAGUAGAAGAGUGAAUCCUUGUCGGACAUGUUUCUUAUCUCCAACAUGAGGAUAGUAAACUCAUUGAUGUAGUCUCACAUACUACCCGAUUGUUUGAGGCGACGUAAGCGCGCUCGCGCUUCCUUUUCUGCAUUGUUUGGGGCGAAUUGCUUUCGGAGUUCUUUCUUGAAGUCGGCCCAAGUGUCGAUGGGGAAGAUUCCCUUGCCCAUCUCGCCAUGCUUGCGACGCCACCAUAGUUGUGCAGCGCCUCUAAGAUAAGUGGGUGCAGUGCCCACUUUAGAUGCCUCAUCUCGUACACCAACGUCAUCGAAGUAUUGAUCAAGUUCGAAUAGGAAGUUGUGCACGAUGGUUGCAUUCGUGUCCCAUCAUAGGUGUCGGGCUUUGGCACGUCAAUGCGGUGCGCAUCACUCGAGUUGGCGGAGGCUGGACUUGGGGAGAGUGUGCGCUUAUGCCAUGCCCAAUCCGAGCGGAUUUCAUCCACUUCCGCACGGACAACACGUAGUUCGUCCUGGACAAAACUAUGAAGUUUUAGCAACUCGUCAUGAAAUGAACAAAACUCCCCUCGGAGAAGGUUCGCUUGUUCUUGGAUGAGUGCCUUUGUUGCCACCGUGAACUCGGCAUAUUCGCCCUCGAGACCAUCCACUUGUUCCUUCAAUCCCUCGAGGCUUUCUUGAGUGGCGGAGAAUAUAUUUUCGAGAGUGUUCACACGAGGCUCCAACGCAUCCACAGAUGGGGCCUUGGACUUGUUACGAGUCUUGCCUUGGACUCGUUCUCCAUCACGGCCGCGGCUUGGCUCCGGUGGAACAUCCACACCAGCAACACCCUCUUUUGCUAUGUUCAAACUGUUGGCCGUUGCUUGUGAGUUAACUUGCGUGGGUGCAAACCUUAGCUCUGAUACCACCUGUCACGGGAUGAGUAUUUUGCGCAGAUAACCCGUGCGGCACUUAGACAACUUUUCCAAAGGUUGCUAAGUAAGCCAAGAGCUUCUCGAACAAGAGAAAAGCAAUGGAGCCAAAUAAGAACUUGUAUUGCACUAAGAGAGAAUUACAAUGCUUGAGUUGCUUGUUGUAGUGUUGUUCUUGUAGUUGUGUGUUGUGUGUUCUGUUCUGUGUGUUCUGUGUUCUCAAAUGCCAAAUGCCAUCCCAUAUUUAUAGGGAAAGCUUUCCAAGCUCUAGAGAGUCCAGAGAGUUAUAUGACUUUCUAGCUAUGUACAUGUGCUAGAGUUCUAUGGAGAAUUCUAGAGUUUCUAGAGCAAUGCUUGAGUUGCUUGUUGUAGUAUUUGCUUCUUGUUGUUGUGUGUUCUAUUGUACAAAUGCCAAAUGCCAUCCCAUAUUUAUAGGGGAGGCUUGCCAAGCUCUAGAGAGUCUAGAGAGUUCUAUGACUUUCUAGCUAUGUGCUAGAAUUCUAUGGAGAAUUCUAGAGAUUCUAGAGAUUUCUAGCUAUAUACAUGUGCUGGAAUUCUAUGGAGAAUUCUAGAGUAUUUACAAGCUCAAAUGUGCUAGAGUUCUCUAGAAUAUUCCGGAAUCUAGAGUUGCCUAGAAUGUUCCAGAAUUAGGCCAAGCUAGGACUCUUGGCCUUGUGUU